UACGAAGGGGGCUAGCGUUGCUCGGAAUCACUGGGCGUAAAGCGCACGUAGGCGGCUUCUUAAGUCAGUGGUGAAAUCCUGGAGCUCAACUCCAGAACUGCCUUUGAUACUGAGGAGCUUGAGUCCGGGAGAGGUGAGUGGAACUGCGAGUGUAGAGGUGAAAUUCGUAGAUAUUCGCAAGAACACCAGUGGCGAAGGCGGCUCACUGGCCCGGUACUGACGCUGAGGUGCGAAAGCGUGGUGAGCAAACGGG
rnacentral:rRNA from 1 species